GUACUCCACGGCCCGGCACCGGUCCGCGGACCGGGGGUUGGGGACCACUGGCCUAGAGGGCAUUAAGACAUAACAUACUGUAACUGACCCAUAUAUUCUCUCCUUUAAGUAUAGCUGUAAUACAUAUCAGUUAGAGUCAUGAUUCUCUUGGGUCAAAAGAAAAUUAGCUUCAGCAGUCAGUAUUUCACUGUCUGGAGCUGGAAGAUUUACAGCACCCUUCUCAGUCCUUAAAAGGCAGGAAAAAAUGUAAGGAAGUAUUGAUGCUGGUCAGUAAGAUCAAAGACAAGCAGCUUUUGUGGGUGUUGAUGGACACAUUUCAGUCUUUCCAGAAAAUGGCUACCUUGAGAGAUUGCCCAUCCACAGACUGAUUGCCUUAGUACAGUGUUUCUCAAUCUCAGCAACCUUAAGAUAAAUGACUUCAGCUCUCAGCAUUCUCCAGCCAGCAUGUUCACAUAUCUUAAAUUUGCUAAAAUUAUCUACAUCUAUUAAGAAAGUGUUUCUCAAUCACAAAGUACCUAUUUACCAAAAGAUAAACUGUCUGGUCAUCCAUUUACUCUUUCCAGGGUGCUCUCAAUAACUGUUGGAGAAAAAAGAGACUUUGUACCUUAGAAUCACAGAAAAGCUUUUUAACUCCAAAAAUGGAAGGGGAAAAUCUAUAGUCCCUAGAAUUUGUUUUGCAAGUUUAUAAAAGGAAGGCUUUUAAAAAGCCUUAAUACAAUGAGCUUGAUGGGCAACAGAAAAUUAAUAAAAGUAAAAUAAUAAAAUCUCAGGUUUGUGGACCUUCAUUGAAAAAUCCUAUCUAUCUUUCUACUAUCUAUCUUAUGUGAGAGGCUCAUAACCUUCUACUGAACUGUUAAGAAGAAUGGAAAAUAUCAGAGAUUCAAGAAACUUGGAAAAUAAAUCUUUUCAUUGGUCAAAUGUACAUUCGCAGUGCAAUUGUUGUGGACUCUGGGGAAUCUGAGGUGAUGCUGUGUUGAAUUUUCUUUGGAUCUAAAUACUGAUACAAAUGAGUAUCAGGGAAAAAGCAACAGUGAAAGAGGAAAUUUGCUUUAAUUGAAGAAGUUAAAUGAUAACACAAUUAUGCUGUGAAAUAAAUUAACAAUGAUACAAUGAAAA